rnacentral:lncRNA from 1 species
GCCGCCCCCGUUCACCUCCGAGCCCAGCGGGAACAGCACCGCCACCGCCGCCUCCGCCGCCCGGAGCCAACAACCGCCCAGCUGCCCAGCCGCUUCCCACCGUCGCCGAGGGCCACGCCCAUUGGCCAGCCGUGGGGCCCUGAUGGAAGUCCAUUGGACCACAGCGCUGCCGUUUCCUCGGGUCCGCCUCCUCAUCCUCCAUUGGCUCACAGCUCAGGGGGCAGGUUCCGAGGGUCAUUUCUCCGCUCCCCACACACACACCUCUGGAAGCGGUGGCAUCUACAUUGAUUGCUAGGAUGAUGCAGGGCAAACGUGCAGAUGAGCCUACGAUGACGGGAACUGCGGGCUCACUGCUGGCUCUGCGACUGCUGCGGGUGCCCGUGUUUCUGUUUUGUUUGGGGCUUUGGUUGUUUUGAACUAGCAAACUGUUUCUGAACGCGAUGGCAUCGUUUAAAGUUCCCAUUGGGAGUGGAAGAAAGUUCCAGAUGCCCCCCCCCCACGUGUUCCCAGGGUGAUAUAAAUACAUCCUGAAGAAAUAAACAAGAGAAUGGCAGUCGUGUCUCCUGGAAACAACUCACAGUCCUCGAUGUGAAAGUGACUCAGAGGCUCCUCUGGAGUUUACUGGGGGAGGAAAGGACAACUCAAGAGGAGGACAAACAGCGCGGAAAUGCUGAGUUACCUCAGCUUCUGCCUCCUGCCUCCACCUUGGCUUAAAAUUUUGGGUUUGUUAAAAAUUAAAGAUUUUGGCUCGGCAUGGUAGCACACGCCUUUUACCCCCCUCCCUCCCAGCUCUGGAGAGGCAGAGGCAAGUGGAUCUCUGUGAGUUCGAGGCCAUCCUAGUCUACAGAGGGAGUUCCAGGACAGCCAGGGCUACACCGAGAAUCCCUGUCUUAACUAUUUCAUACAUCCUGUGUGAAAAUGUCAUGAUGGAAGCAUGUGCUACUAAAAGCACUUAAAAUGAAUAAGAUUUGGUCGUGGAUGUCCCCCUGUCUCCACACGUGUAGCAGAUUAACUGAAUCUGAAUGUCCUAAUCUAAACAUCCCCUCUGGGCUCAGACAGUUUCCACACUGACUUUGGAAUUUUGGAUAAAGCCCCAAGGGAGGUGGUGCCCUGCCCUCUGAGCCCAGCCAAGCUCCAGGCUUUGCCAGGCUGGGGGAGGGGAGCCCCUUAUCCUUGCAAAGCCUGGCAUUACUACCACCACCACCCCCUUCACGCCCACCUUCCCAACCCCUGCCUCAGCUCCUGGCUCAGCCUCUCCCUGACCGGAAGCUUCCUGUGCUGGUACUUGCCACUAGACCCUUCCCUUCCUCCCUCUGUGGAUCCCAGCAGCUGCUGAAAUUCACCGAUCCCUGGCCUGAGGCCCUGCUUGUCCUAGGGCCUCAUGGAAGAGGCCCCAUACUUGCUGAAUUAGAUCAAGUUGUGCAUGGCUUUUAACUCUAGCUUCUCCCACUUGAUGGUUUGGGGUUUGCUGCUUCCUGAUAGACAGUAAACUUUACCCACGGGGGUGGUGGGG